rnacentral:tRNA from 1 species
GCAGAUGUAGUUUAAUGGUAGAACCUCAGCCUUCCAAGCUGACUACGUGGGUUCGAUUCCCAUCAUCUGCU